AUCUGGGCAGCAGCCCAAGAGGAGCAAGAAUGCCCAGAGAUGUCUGUGAGUGAGUGCAGCUGGAUCCCAUGGGUGGUUCGACGGGGCACUGGAGACGCUGAGCAGACCCCUCCUUUAUCAUCUGCGUGAUGGGGACCUUGGUCACCAACUGAAGGUGGGUUUCGCUUUCUGAGGGCAAAGGUCACGAAGCCCCUUGACUUUACAAAUCUUCCUACAUUUCAGAAAGACUUGUACUGAAGAGGCCCAUGGAAUGUGUGCGAGAGCAAGCUCAGGACUGCAAGUCACCGGGGAGCCCUUGAAUGGGGGAAAGGAAACAGGAAGCCGAAAGGCUCCCCAAGUUGCUCGCAAGUGGAAGCAGUGGUAGGAGGGUGGGGACACAGAGCCUGGAACGUCCUCCUAAGGGCGUUCUUUUGCCCCAGAGAAGGAGCUAUCACAACUAAGAAUGUCACCCAGGAGAGAGAUCCUCCGAGUCAGGCCGCUGCUACCAGACAGAGUAGGAAACAGCUGACCAGGAGCCCUGCUGGACAGACACUGCGCUGAGCCCAGCUCUUCCUCUAGCGGAGCCUGUGUCAAGUGGCCAUGGAGGGUGCCUGCCCCAGAACCUGUCACCUCCCAGAAUAAAG
rnacentral:lncRNA from 1 species